rnacentral:lncRNA from 1 species
GCCCACCACAGAUCCGCAUAUCCCUUUAAUUAAGCAGUACACCGUGUUUGGUAUUUUCAAAUCUAUUCCGUUAUGAUCGAUAUAUACGUUUUACUUAAUUGAUAGUACAUAUAGACGAUAUUUCAUUAACAAAUAGGCACGUGCACGUAAACACUGAUAUUACUAAAUAAUAACACCAUCCUUUUGGCUAGAAAGACAUCAACCAUCAAUCUUUAGAUUUUUAAACCUUCACCCUAGCCACACAAACACAUACACACAUAGUCGAUGCCUAAUGCAAAAGUUCUGUUCUGUUCAUACUAACGUAACAAAAUUCAAGAAAUUCGUAUUUCUUUAUAUCCC